rnacentral:rRNA from 1 species
CCUACGGGAGGCAGCAGUGAGGAAUAUUGGUCAAUGGGCGGAAGCCUGAACCAGCCAAGUAGCGUGCGGGAUGAAGGCCCUACGGGUCGUAAACCGCUUUUGCACGGGGAUAACACCCUCCACUUGUGGAGGUCUGCAGGUACCGUGCGAAUAAGGGCCGGCUAAUUCCGUGCCAGCAGCCGCGGUAAUACGGAAGGCCCGAGCGUUAUCCGGAUUCAUUGGGCUUAAAGGGAGCGUAGGCGGGCGUUCAAGUCAGCUGUAAAAUCGCGCGGCUCAACCGCGCCCCGCAGUUGAAACUGGACGCAUUGAGUUCACAACAGGCAGGCGGAAUUCGUGGUGUAGCGGUGAAAUGCAUAGAUAUCACGAGGAACCCCGAUUGCGAGGGCAGCCUGCCGGGGUGCGACUGACGCUGAGGCUCGAAGGUGCGGGUAUCAAACAGGAUUAGAUACCCCAGUAGUC